rnacentral:rRNA from 1 species
CAGUAGCCGCGGUAAUACGUAGGGUGCGAGCGUUAAUCGGAAUUACUGGGCGUAAAGCGGGCGCAGACGGUUACCUAAGCAGGAUGUGAAAUCCCCGGGCUCAACCUGGGAAUUGCGUUCUGAACUGGGUGGCUAGAGUGUGUCAGAGGGGGGUAGAAUUCCACGUGUAGCAGUGAAAUGCGUAGAGAUGUGGAGGAAUACCGAUGGCGAAGGCAGCCCCCUGGGAUAGCACUGACGUUCAUGCCCGAAAGCGUGGGUAGCAAACAGGAUUAGAUACCCCAGUAGUCCCUGUCUCUUAUAC